rnacentral:rRNA from 1 species
UCGCUAGUAAUCGCGGAUCAGCAUGCCGCGGUGAAUACGUUCCCGGGCCUUGUACACACCGCCCGUCACACCACGAGAGUUGGCAACACCCGAAGUCGGUGAGGUAACCUUUAUGGAGCCAGUCGCCGAAGGUGGGGCCAAUGAUUGGGGUGAAGUCGUAACAAGGUAGCCGUAUCGGAAGGUGCGGCUGG